rnacentral:rRNA from 1 species
GGGCCCGCACAAGCAGUGGAGUAUGUGGUUUAAUUCGAAGCAACGCGAAGAACCUUACCAGGGCUUGACAUACAGUAGAAUACGGUAGAGAUAUCGUAGUCCUUCGGGACUGCUGUACAGGUGGUGCAUGGUUGUCGUCAGCUCGUGUCGUGAGAUGUUGGGUUAAGUCCCGCAACGAGCGCAACCCCUGUUGUUAGUUGCCAUCAUUCAGUUGGGCACUCUAACGAGACUGCCGGUGACAAAUCGGAGGAAGGUGGGGACGACGUCAAAUCAUCAUGCCCCUUAUGUCCUGGGCUACACACGUACUACAAUGGCUAUUACAGUGGGAAGCGAAGUCGUAAGGCGGAGCAAAUCCCCAAAAAUAGUCCCAGUUCAGAUUGUGGGCUGCAACUCGCCCACAUGAAGUCGGAAUUGCUAGUAAUGGCAGGUCAGCAUACUGCCGUGAAUACGUUCCCGGGCCUU